ACCACGGCAGCGCUGGAGGAGGAUUGCUGGAGGUGCCUGCAAAGAAUAACACCGCGCCGCGGGCGGAGAGACUUUGGCUGGAUGCUGAUGGACAUCCUCCUGUGAGACACAAUGCAAGUGACCUGAAACAAUGUAACGUGGAACCGUACAGCAGAAGGGAUUGUGGCUACCCCUCAAUAAGUGCUGCGGAAUGUAAGAAGAGGAAAUGUUGCUUUGACUCCAGCAUUCCAGAGGUUAAAUGGUGUUUCUUCUCCAAGUCACAAGAUAAACAGCAAUGUAGUGUGGAUGUUAAAAAGCGACAAGACUGCGGUUAUCCCGGGAUAAGCGCUAAAGAUUGCUAUUCCAGAGGCUGCUGCUUCGAUGCAAGUGCUCCCGAGGUUAAAUGGUGUUUUAACCCCAAAUUUAAAGGAUGCUCUGUGAGCCACAAGCUGAGGAAAAACUGUGGAUAUCCCAACAUCAACUCCAAGGACUGUCUAUCCAAAGGCUGCUGUUUCGACUCCAGUGUUCCCAAGACUGUCUGGUGCUUCCAUGGAUAUAAGUGAAAUAACGAUACACAGUAUAACCGGCUCGUAACAAUCACCGGAGUCUCCGUACAGAACGGAUCCUGACGCAGCGAGAUUUUGUUCUGAUCUGUAAACGUGAUUGUUAUAAACUAGAGAUCCGUCAUUUAUUAUUACUUGUCCAGACCUCAAAUAAGAUUUGCAUAAUGUAUAUACUGUACGUGUUACAGCAUUAUAUGUCAUAUCCAUGUUUUAUAUAGUUAUAUAUAUAAUAUAUAUAUAUGUGGAUUUCCUUAUCAAUACAGUUAUUCCCAACUUACUUCACCCCACAAAUCACAUUUGUAUAAUCUAAUACAUAAACAAGUCCUUAAUGCACU